CAGUCGCCGCGGGAAUACGGAGGAUCCAAGCGUUAUCCGGAAUCAUUGGGUUUAAAGGGUCCGUAGGCGGUCUUGUAAGUCAGUGGUGAAAGCCCAUCGCUCAACGGUGGAACGGCCAUUGAUACUGCAGGACUUGAAUUAUUGGGAAGUAACUAGAAUAUGUAGUGUAGCGGUGAAAUGCUUAGAGAUUACAUGGAAUACCAAUUGCGAAGGCAGGUUACUACCAAUUGAUUGACGCUGAUGGACGAAAGCGUGGGUAGCAAACAGGAUUAGAUACCCCUGUAGUCCCUGUCUCUUAUAC
rnacentral:rRNA from 1 species